ACUGCCCAGAAUGAAAAGCCAUUUUCAAGGGAACUCCUGGCAUCACUUUUAAGAGCACUUUGUGCCUGGCCAUACCACCAGGCUUCGUGUGAAGGGCCGUGGAGCUGCAGCUGGUUCCUUGGGCCCUUACUCCAGGCCUUACCCUCUUUGGACCCUGCAUUCUCUGCAGUCUUGGAACUUGGAUGCACCAACUCUUGCCAAGUGAAUACUACUGAGAAUUCUGGAAUCCAAGAGAAAGGAUAUGUGAA